GAUGAACGCUGGCGGCGUGCCUAAUACAUGCAAGUCGAGCGAACGGACGAGAAGCUUGCUUCUCUGAUGUUAGCGGCGGACGGGUGAGUAACACGUGGAUAACCUACCUAUAAGACUGGGAUAACUUCGGGAAACCGGAGCUAAUACCGGAUAAUAUUUUGAACCGCUUGGUUCAAAAGUGAAAGACGGUCUUGCUGUCACUUAUAGAUGGAUCCGCGCUGCAUUAGCUAGUUGGUAAGGUAACGGCUUACCAAGGCAACGAUGCAUAGCCGACCUGAGAGGGUGAUCGGCCACACUGGAACUGAGACACGGUCCAGACUCCUACGGGAGGCAGCAGUAGGGAAUCUUCCGCAAUGGGCGAAAGCCUGACGGAGCAACGCCGCGUGAGUGAUGAAGGUCUUCGGAUCGUAAAACCCUGUUAUUAGGGAAGAACAUAUGUGUAAGUAACUGUGCACAUCUUGACGGUACCUAAUCAGAAAGCCACGGCUAACUACGUG
rnacentral:rRNA from 1 species